GCCUACGGGACGGAGCAGUGAGGAAUAUUGGUCAAUGGGCGGGAGCCUGAACCAGCCAAGUCGCGUGAGGGAAGACGGUCCUAUGGAUUGUAAACCUCUUUAGGCGGGGAGCAAUGCCGGGCACGCGUGCCCGGAGGGAGAGUACCCGCAGAAUAAGCAUCGGCUAACUCCGUGCCAGCAGCCGCGGUAAUACGGAGGAUGCGAGCGUUAUCCGGAUUUAUUGGGUUUAAAGGGUGCGUAGGCGGAUUUUUAAGUCAGCGGUAAAAUGUCCGGGCUCAACCCGGGCCAGCCGUUGAAACUGGGGG
rnacentral:rRNA from 1 species